ensembl:lncRNA
CACCGCUAUUUUGUUUGCCAGAAAAAAGGACCAUUUUAAUAAUGACUUUGCCUUAAAGGAAACCCUCAGUCAUUAAUACUGGAUGUAAGGUCUGCUUGGUGAGGGUAAGAGGAAAGGGUCUCAGAAAAGUGACAGGACCGAAGAGUAGGGCCAUUUUCUACCUUCAGGAAAGAGUCUGGGAACUUCCCUGGUGGUCCAGUGGUUAAGAUCCCCUGGUAGUUCAGCUGGUAAAGAAUCCACCUGCAAUGCAGGAGACUCUGGUUCGAUUCCUGGGUUGGGAAGAUCCGCUGGAGAAGGAAUAGGCUACCCAUUUCAGUAUCCUUGGGCUUCCCUGGUGGCUCAGCUGGUAAAGAAUCUGCCUACAAUGCGGGAGACCUGAGUUUGAUCUUUGGAUUGGUGAGAUUCCCUGGAGAACAGAAUGGCUACCCACGCCAGUAUUCUGGCCAGGAGAAUUCCAGGGACUGUACAGUCCACGGGUCACAAAGGACUGACAUGACUGAGCGACUUUCACUGUCACUUUUCAGUGCAGAGGAUGCAGACUUGAUCCCCUGUUUGGGGAACUAAAAAGAGCUACGUUUUUUCCAGUAGUCAUAUGUGGAUGUGAGAGUUGGACCAUAAAGAUACCUGAGUGCUGAAGAAUUGAUGCUUUUGAGCUGUGAUGUCGAAGAACACUCUUGAGAGUCCCUUGGACUGCAGGGAGAUCCAACCAGUCCAUCCUAAAGGAAAUCAGUCCUGAAUAUUCAUUGGAAGGCCUGAUGCUGAAGUUCAAAUACUUUGGCCACUUGAUGCAAAGACCUGGCUCUGGAGAAGACCCUGAUGCUGGGAAAGAUUGAAGGUCAGCUAUGGUGGAGCUUUAUUCAGAGAGCAUCCUAAAUUCUCAAUCUGUCUUAAGAUGAUCACACACUUCAACUUGAAGACUAAACUCGAAACAGACUACAAAAGACAAGGACUCCUUUACUCUAAACACAUAAAUGAGGUUUGAAUGAAAAUGACUGUGAAGUACAGUAAUCUAGCAACUAUGAGAGAUGUCACCCAGAAGAUGAGAAUGAUUUAGAGAUGACACAUGCUGCUCUUCUUCAUAGAAGACACAGAGGACCAUCCAAAGUAUGCAUUCAAUACACACACCCCUAGGAGGAGGAGGAG